rnacentral:lncRNA from 1 species
GAAAAGUUGGGAUAUUUUACGUGAUUUGGGGUGGGAUUUAUUGGGGUGGGACUUGGAUUUUUUGGGCGAUUCGGGUGAUUUUUGGGGCGGGAUUUUGGUGCGAUUCGGAGCACUUUGGGCUGGAUUCUGGGGAUUUUGGGGCGGGAUUUUUUGUGCGAUUCGGGUGAUUUUUGGGGCGGGAUUUUUCAGAGAUUCAGGUGAUUUUUGGGGCAGGAUUUUUCGGUGAUUCGGAGCACUUUGGGCUGGAUUCGGGGGAUUUUGGGGUGGGAUUUUUUGGGCGAUUCGGGUGAUUUUGGGAUGGGAUUUUUUGGGCGAUUCGGGUGAUUUUUGGGGCGGGAUGUUUUGGCGAUUCGGGGGAUUUUGGGGUGGGAUUUUUUGGGCGAUUCGGGUGAUUUUUGGGGUGGAUUUGGGGGUUUUUUGGGCAGGAUUUUUGUGCGAUUCGGGUGAUUUUUGGGGUGGGACUUUUUGGCGAUUUGGGUGAUUUUUGGAGCAGGAUUUUUCAGCGAUUCGGGGGAUUUUUGGAGCGGGAUUUUUCAGCGAUUCGGGGGAUUUUUGGAGCGGGAUUUUUCAGCGAUUCGGGUGAUUUUUGGGGCAGGAUUUUUCAGCGAUUCGGAUGAUUUUUGGGGCAGGAUUUUGGUGCGAUUCGGAGCACUUUGGGCUGGAUUCGGGGAUUUUGGUCCCGUACCUGAUCUCGAAGUCGAUGUUGGCCUCGAAGGGCGGCGCCGGCUGCACGCCCAGCGCGCCCCAGCGCAGCCCCCGCUCCAGCAGCCGCCGCGCCGGGGCCACCAGGCGGGGCAGGGAGACCCCCACCCUGACAAAGAGCGCCUGGAGACCCCCCUGGAACCCCAAAAUACCUGCGGGGGGCAAAGGGCACCGUCACCCCAAAAAAAACCCCGAAAAA